rnacentral:rRNA from 1 species
UUAAGCGACUAAGCGUACACGGUGGAUGCCCUGGCAGUCAGAGGCGAUGAAGGGCGUGCUAAUCUGCGAUAAGCGCCGGUAAGGUGAUAUGAACCGUUAUAACCGGCGAUACCCGAAUGGGGAAACCCAGUGUGACUCGUCACACUAUCAUUAACUGAAUCCAUAGGUUAAUGAGGCGAACCGGGGGAACUGAAACAUCUAAGUACCCCGAGGAAAAGAAAUCAACCGAGAUUCCCCCAGUAGCGGCGAGCGAACGGGGAGGAGCCCAGAGCCUGAAUCAGCAUGUGUGUUAGUGGAAGCGUCUGGAAAGGCGCGCGAUACAGGGUGACAGCCCCGUACACAAAAGCGCAUGUGCUGUGAGCUCGAUGAGUAGGGCGGGACACGUGGUAUCCUGUCUGAAUAUGGGGGGACCAUCCUCCAAGGCUAAAUACUCCUGACUGACCGAUAGUGAACCAGUACCGUGAGGGAAAGGCGAAAAGAACCCCGGCGAGGGGAGUGAAAAAGAACCUGAAACCGUGUACGUACAAGCAGUGGGAGCACAGGUUUACCUGUGUGACUGCGUACCUUUUGUAUAAUGGGUCAGCGACUUAUAUUCUGUAGCAAGGUUAACCGUAUAGGGGAGCCGUAGGGAAACCGAGUCUUAACCGGGCGUUAAGUUGCAGGGUAUAGACCCGAAACCCGGUGAUCUAGCCAUGGGCAGGUUGAAGGUUGGGUAACACUAACUGGAGGACCGAACCGACUAAUGUUGAAAAAUUAGCGGAUGACCUGUGGCUGGGGGUGAAAGGCCAAUCAAACCGGGAGAUAGCUGGUUCUCCCCGAAAGCUAUUUAGGUAGCGCCUCGUGAAUUCAUCUCCGGGGGUAGAGCACUGUUUCGGCUAGGGGGCCAUCCCGGCUUACCAACCCGAUGCAAACUGCGAAUACCGGAGAAUGUUAUCACGGGAGACACACGGCGGGUGCUAACGUCCGUCGUGAAGAGGGAAACAACCCAGACCGCCAGCUAAGGUCCCAAAGUCAUGGUUAAGUGGGAAACGAUGUGGGAAGGCCCAGACAGCCAGGAUGUUGGCUUAGAAGCAGCCAUCAUUUAAAGAAAGCGUAAUAGCUCACUGGUCGAGUCGGCCUGCGCGGAAGAUGUAACGGGGCUAAACCAUGCACCGAAGCUGCGGCAGCGACGCUGAUGCGUUGUUGGGUAGGGGAGCGUUCUGUAAGCCUGUGAAGGUGGCCUGUGAGGGUUGCUGGAGGUAUCAGAAGUGCGAAUGCUGACAUAAGUAACGAUAAAGCGGGUGAAAAGCCCGCUCGCCGGAAGACCAAGGGUUCCUGUCCAACGUUAAUCGGGGCAGGGUGAGUCGACCCCUAAGGCGAGGCCGAAAGGCGUAGUCGAUGGGAAACGGGUUAAUAUUCCCGUACUUGGUGUUACUGCGAAGGGGGGACGGAGAAGGCUAUGUUGGCCGGGCGACGGUUGUCCCGGUUUAAGCGUGUAGGUGUGUGUUCCAGGUAAAUCCGGUUCACUUUAACACUGAGGCGUGAUGACGAGGCACUACGGUGCUGAAGCAACAAAUGCCCUGCUUCCAGGAAAAGCCUCUAAGCAUCAGGUAACAUCAAAUCGUACCCCAAACCGACACAGGUGGUCAGGUAGAGAAUACCAAGGCGCUUGAGAGAACUCGGGUGAAGGAACUAGGCAAAAUGGUGCCGUAACUUCGGGAGAAGGCACGCUGACACGUAGGUGAAGUGAUUUACUCAUGGAGCUGAAGUCAGUCGAAGAUACCAGCUGGCUGCAACUGUUUAUUAAAAACACAGCACUGUGCAAACACGAAAGUGGACGUAUACGGUGUGACGCCUGCCCGGUGCCGGAAGGUUAAUUGAUGGGGUCAGCGCAAGCGAAGCUCCUGAUCGAAGCCCCGGUAAACGGCGGCCGUAACUAUAACGGUCCUAAGGUAGCGAAAUUCCUUGUCGGGUAAGUUCCGACCUGCACGAAUGGCGUAAUGAUGGCCAGGCUGUCUCCACCCGAGACUCAGUGAAAUUGAACUCGCUGUGAAGAUGCAGUGUACCCGCGGCAAGACGGAAAGACCCCGUGAACCUUUACUAUAGCUUGACACUGAACAUUGAGCCUUGAUGUGUAGGAUAGGUGGGAGGCUUUGAAGCGUGGACGCCAGUCUGCAUGGAGCCGGCCUUGAAAUACCACCCUUUAAUGUUUGAUGUUCUAACGUGGACCCGUGAUCCGGGUUGCGGACAGUGUCUGGUGGGUAGUUUGACUGGGGCGGUCUCCUCCUAAAGAGUAACGGAGGAGCACGAAGGUUGGCUAAUCCUGGUCGGACAUCAGGAGGUUAGUGCAAUGGCAUAAGCCAGCUUGACUGCGAGCGUGACGGCGCGAGCAGGUGCGAAAGCAGGUCAUAGUGAUCCGGUGGUUCUGAAUGGAAGGGCCAUCGCUCAACGGAUAAAAGGUACUCCGGGGAUAACAGGCUGAUACCGCCCAAGAGUUCAUAUCGACGGCGGUGUUUGGCACCUCGAUGUCGGCUCAUCACAUCCUGGGGCUGAAGUAGGUCCCAAGGGUAUGGCUGUUCGCCAUUUAAAGUGGUACGCGAGCUGGGUUUAGAACGUCGUGAGACAGUUCGGUCCCUAUCUGCCGUGGGCGCUGGAGAACUGAGGGGGGCUGCUCCUAGUACGAGAGGACCGGAGUGGACGCAUCACUGGUGUUCGGGUUGUCAUGCCAAUGGCACUGCCCGGUAGCUAAAUGCGGAAGAGAUAAGUGCUGAAAGCAUCUAAGCACGAAACUUGCCCCGAGAUGAGUUCUCCCUGAGACUUAGAGUCUCCUGAAGGAACGUUGAAGACGACGACGUUGAUAGGCCGGGUGUGUAAGCGCAGCGAUGCGUUGAGCUAACCGGUACUAAUGAACCGUGAGGCUUAACCU